UACAGAGGGUGCGAGCGUUGUUCGGAAUUAUUGGGCGUAAAGGGCGCGUAGGCGGUGCGGUAAGUCACCUGUGAAAUCUCCUGGCUCAACUGGGAGCUUGCAAGCGAAACUGCCGUGCUGGAGUGUGGGAGAGGUGCGUGGAAUUCCUGGUGUAGCGGUGAAAUGCGUAGAUAUCAGGAGGAACACCUGUGGCGAAAGCGGCGCACUGGACCACAACUGACGCUGAGGCGCGAAAGCUAGGGGAGCAAACAGG
rnacentral:rRNA from 1 species